rnacentral:misc_RNA from 1 species
AUCGUUGCCCCUCCCCCCAAACCCUCCCCUCCUCGAAAAAAGGAAAAAAAGGGAAUUGGGCGCGGGGGGAUAUUGGGCUCCCCUGCGCCCAAAGGGUCUCGGUUGGGCUAAAUAUAAGUCUUCGACAGUGGACGUCUUGACGUUUUGUGGGGAAAAAAAACUCUAGCUCCCGUCGCGCGUACGUCGUCGGUGCAACAAGGGUCUCCGACCCUGAGGAGUUGUCAACAACAGCGCACGCAUC